ensembl:lncRNA TPRXL tetrapeptide repeat homeobox like (pseudogene)
AGAGUCUCGCUCUGUCGCCCAGGCUGGCAGCCUCCCUAGUAGCUGGGACUACAGGCACCUGCCACCACGCCUAGCUAAUUUUUUGUAUUUUUUUAGUAGAGACGGGGUUUCACUGUGUUAGCCAGGUCUCCAUCUCCUGACCUCGUGAUCUGCCUGCCUCGGCAUCCCAAAGUGCUGGGAUUACAGACAGAGUCUUGCCCUGUUGCCCAGGCUGGAGUAUAGUAGUGCAGUGGUGUGAUCAUAGCUCACUGUAACUUCGACCACCUGGGCUCAAACAAUCCUUCUUCCUCUGCCUCCCAAGUAGCUGGGACUACAGAGCAGGACCCAGGAUGCAAGACCCUAGGCAUCCCCAAGGCCUUCCACUGUCCCCAGGCCUUCCAAAGAGACAGCGGCAGGACCGCACAAUCUACAACUGGAAACAGCAGGAAGUGCUAGAAAAUCACUUUAAGGAGGAACAGUACCCAGACUAUGACACACGACAAGAGCUGGCGGAGAUGCUCAAUCUCAGGGAGUACCAAGUGCAGGUGUGGUUCAAGAAUCGCCGGGCCAAACGCUCUCGGGAGCGGUGGUUCCAGAAGCAGCUCCAGCAGCUCCAGA